GACGAACGCUGGCGGCGUGCUUAACACAUGCAAGUCGAGCGGUAAGGCCCUUUCGGGGGUACACGAGCGGCGGACGGGUGAGUAACACGUGGGUGACCUGCCCUCAGCUCUGGGAUGAGCCCGGGAAACUGGGUCUAAUACUGGAUAUGACUCCAUGACGCAUGUUGUGGGGUGGAAAGCCUUGUGCGGCUGAGGAUGGGCCCGCGGCCUAUCAGCUUGUUGGGGGGUGAUGGCCUACCAAGGCGACGACGGGUAGCCGGCCUGAGAGGGCGACCGGCCACACUGGGACUGAGACACGGCCCAGACUCCUACGGGAGGCAGCAGUGGGGAAUCUUGCGCAAUGGGCGAAAGCCUGACGCAGCGACGCCGCGUGAGGGAUGACGGCCUGG
rnacentral:rRNA from 1 species